GCGGGGAUAGGAUUAGACAGGUAGAGUAUAGCGGGGAUAGGAUUAGACAGGUAGAGUAUAGCGGGGAUAGGAUUAGACAGGUAGAAUAUAGCGGGGAUAGGAUUAGACAGGUAGAGUAUAGUGGGGAUAGGAUUAGACAGGUAGAGUAUAACAUCAUUACUGUGUAUGUACAGCAGUGAUAGGAUUAGACAGGUAGAGUAUAGCGGGGAUAGGAUUAGACAGGUAGAGUAUAGUGGGGAUAGGAUUAGACAGGUAGAGUAUAGCGGGGAUAGGAUUAGACAGGUAGAGUAUAGUGGGGAUAGGAUUAGACAGGUAGAGUAUAGCGGGGAUAGGAUUAGACAGGUAGAGUAUAGCGGGGAUAGGAUUAGACAGGUAGAGUAUAGUGGGGAUAGGAUUAGACAGGUAGAGUAUAGUGGGGAUAGGAUUAGACAGGUAGAGUAUAGUGGGGAUAGGAUUAGACAGGUAGAGUAUAGUGGGGAUAGGAUUAGACAGGUAGAGUAUAACCUCAUCACCGUGUAUGUACAGCAGGGAUGGGAUUAGACAGGUAGAGUAUAACCUCAUCACUGUGUAUGUACAGCGGGGAUGGGAUUCGACAUAUAGAGUAUUAUAUCAUUCUUAUGUAAGUUUAAGUACAUAAACUAUAUGUAUGCUGACAUGUUCUGGUGUAUGUGAACUUUACACUGAUUUAGGGUGUCCCAGAUUGU